rnacentral:rRNA from 1 species
GAUGAACGCUGGCGGCGUGCCUAAUACAUGCAAGUCGAGCGAACGGACGAGAAGCUUGCUUUUCUGAUGUUAGCGGCGGACGGGUGAGUAACACGUGGAUAACCUACCUAUAAGACUGGGAUAACUUCGGGAAACCGGAGCUAAUACCGGAUAAUAUUUUGAACCGCAUGGUUCAAAAGUGAAAGACGGUCUUGCUGUCACUGAUAGAUGGAUCCGCGCUGCAUUAGCUAGUUGGUAAGGUAACGGCUUACCAAGGCAACGAUGCAUAGCCGACCUGAGAGGGUGAUCGGCCACACUGGAACUGAGACACGGUCCAGGCUCCUAAGGGAGGCAGCAGUAGGGAAUCUUCCGCAAUGGGCGAAAGCCUGACGGAGCAACGCCGCGUGAGUGAUGAAGGUCUUCGGAUCGUAAAACUCUGUUAUUAGGGAAGAACAUAUGUGUAAGUAACUGUGCACAUCUUGACGGUACCUAAUCAGAAAGCCACGGCUAACUACGUG